rnacentral:rRNA from 1 species
AUACAGAGGUCUCAACCGUUGUUCGGAUUCAUUGGGCGUAAAGGGUGCGUAGGCGGUCGCGUAAGUCGGAUGUGAAAUCUCAGGGCUCAACCCUGAAACUGCAUUCGAUACUGCGUGGCUAGGGUACUGGAGAGGAGACUGGAAUUUACGGUGUAGCAGUGAAAUGCGUAGAUAUCGUAAGGAAGACCAGUGGCGAAGGCGGGUCUCUGGACAGUUCCUGACGCUGAGGCACGAAGGUCAGGGGAGCAAACA